rnacentral:lncRNA from 1 species
CUUCUUUUUCUAGUUUCCUAUGGUGAAAGCUUUGAUUAUUGAUUUUAGAUCUCUUCUUCUAUUAUAAUAGAUGCAUUUAUGCUAUAAAUUUCCCUCUAGGCAUCACUUUUGCUACAUCCCACAAAUUUUGAUUUUGUUUUCAUUUUCAUUCUGAACUUUUUUGAUUCAUGUAAUCUGUAAUGUGCAUUUCCAUAUCAUCCUAAGUAGAUCUAUUUCACUUUAACUGGUAUGUAAUAUUACAUUGUAUGGAUGUUUCAUAUUUUACUUAUUUAGUACUAUUUUGUAAGAUACUUAAGUUGUUCUAAUUUUUAUUCUCAUUCAAACAAUGCUCAAUGAAAUAUAUGUGUAUAUCUUUGUAUAUUGCAGGUUUAUAUCAAUAAGAUAAAUUCCUAACGUUGGAAUUGCUUAGUCAACAGAUACAUAUAUUUUCCAACGUGAUAAAUAUUGUCUAAUUGUUUUCCAAAAAUGUUGUACCAGUUAAUACUCACGAUGAGCUUUCAAUAGGUCAUUGCCUCUGUAGGAGGAGAUCCACUCUCUUUUUGUAAUUGCAAAGCAUAGUCACCUUGCCUAAUUACAGCAGGAUGUUAUUUAUACCUGUAUGUUUUGCUAUAAACACAUUAACCUAGAGAUGUGGGAUCUAAACGUUAAUCUUAGGUGUUGAUAUGCUCUGAUGAGUAAGAAAUUGCUAAAAGCUAGAGACAAAAUGGGAGAAAUAACUUGAGGCUUGCUGCAACACAGGAACAGAAAAUAAAAAUCAAGAGAAAAAAAGUUGGGGGGCAUAAAGCAAAACAUAAAAGUAAACAAAAAAAGGGGGAAGGGGAGAGUGAAGACCAUGGAGAUUGUGGUUAAUCAACAACAGGACGUGAGAAGUUGGGGAGCUGACCAAUAUUCUUGACAUAAGAUUUUGAGAAAAAUAGAGCUUACAGGGUAGGCUUAAACCUAGGAAUCAUUCUUCAUAUUUACCCAAAGAGGACUAUGGCACUAGCAAGUAUUUGUUUUCUCAGGUACUAGUGAUUCAAAGAGAGGGAGCUAAAAAGGGGAAAAUUAAAAUCAAAAGCCUAACUUAUUUUAUGCAAGAGAUAGCUGAAUUCUAAAAUUUUUGUUUUGUUUUGUUUUGUUUUUUUACCCUCUCAUGGGCCUAGCCUUAGGAUUUCUUUCACCACAAAUCCUUUCAUAGAUGGGAUCCCUAUCUGCCAUAGCAGCUGCUACCUCUGAGAGACUUGAAGCGACCUCUACCUCACACAUGAGAGAAAAGACCCUUCUUUUUACUUCUUGGGGAAUGUAGUGAUUCAGGACUGUAGUGUUUCCUCUUGGAGUCUCUCCCUAGAGGUUUUCCUAUUGUUUUUGCUCUAAGCAGAGUCCCCACAUCCACACUCCCCCACCCCCUCCAUAGCACAAUCAAUAUUAACUCAUUCAUAACAGAGGAGCAGCCUCUUUUCCAAUCACAGUUCUGCUGACUUGUUUGGGAUUGGUUUGGGUUGAGUCACUAAGAAACAUAUUAGAUUAAGGCACUGGUCUUUUUAAUAAUAAUAUAGAAUCUCCACACCUCUCAAAUAGACCUCAAAUUUGGGAGCCAUUUAUUUUCAUUACCCUCUCUUCAUAGGAAAAAUUGAGGACCCCGUUUAUUUACUUAAAACAACAAUAAGCUGAAUCACUGUUGCUAUUUAACAUCUUACUUUUUAGAAAAUAUUCUUUGUGGUGCCUGACGGCAAUGCUGCAAAGGAAACAACCAGUUUAAAAAUAGGAAAGAUAAAUUAAAUAAUACCAAUUUACAAACAAAUUUAAAAUCGAAACAAUCCCCCAUACACACUCUUCUUGGUCAGCUCUGCCUCACCCUAAGAGAUCAGUAGGUAAACAACAUUCUGUUACCUCUGUUUGCACCCAUGGAUCAUCAGGUGAGAGGGCAGGUGUUUGGGAGUAGUUGGAGAGAGGGCUGAAACAAUAUUUUUGCACCAAAUAACUUGGUCUCUCCAGUUUGUAGUUAGUUUAUAAUGAGUUUGUGAUCCAUGGAUCUCACAGGCUGCUUCCUUGUAACUUAAUGAACCAUAAUGACAAUUCCAAAGGCUACAUUAAUUUCUUUUUAAAAUAAAAGAAGGAGGGUCUGCUGAGAGUGGAUGUUAGGAACUAAGCUAUUUCCAUUACCCUAUUUUAAGUAAAGCGCUAGCUAGAAGGCCCAUGUACCAGCUACUGCUAACUCCUAACUUCAGAAACUCAUUUGCAAUGAGCUUUCCAUACCUCUUUGGGUGGGAAAUGUACUAUUGCUUCUCUUCUUAGCGAGGCUAUCAAGAAACACACUUCAAAAAAUUCCCACAACACACAUAAUCAUUCUUUCAAAAUAGCAAUUUGGCUGUAGCAGCCUUCUUCCCAUUCAGCUAAGUGUGUGAAAGGUAAUGGAGACAGCUAAUGCCUUUUGGUUUUGCUGUGGGCAGGGGAAUCUUACCAUCAUAUGUAAUUAGUAAGAACUACCAGAAAACAGACAAUUGUUAUAGAAGUCACACUGAAAAUACUCUAACAAAUAGUCUAAGCAACAUUCAUUGAGCUCCUUUGGGGGUGGGGCAAGGGGGGUAAUUUUCUGGUGUUAAGAAUGUCAUAAGAUUGCCAAGGUAGUAAAUGACUGGGACUUUACAAAGGCCUUUGGAAGGAGAGGGGGCAAUCCCAUGAGAAAAUGACAGGUACUGUUUUAUUUCCAUGGUCCUUUUUUACCUGCCAGUUCUUACUUCUCAGUGAACACAACUGAUGUCCCCACUUUCCCCAACAACAACAAUGACAAUAAAAUAAAUUUUAAAAAGAUUCUCGGUAUGAGUCAUGAGCUUACCCACUGUGGACCAGGAAGUUCUCUUCAGGCUCUCACCUGCUAAACUAUGGCAGAAGUGAUUAUGCAAAGUUUUCAAAAACCCACAGCACAGCUCUCCUCCUGCUGGGCUAUGAAUGGAGACAAGGGACUGGUACUAGUGAGGGCCAUUCGGAAGAGGAAGUGGGUGAAGGCUCUGCCACUGGCCAAAAUCGGGUUGCACCUCUUCUCCCAUGCUCCCCAUACAAGCCCUGACAAUGACAUUCUCCUGGAAGCCCAUUUUCAUUGCUGCCUCCAGGCCUUUGCUCUCCUGUUUGUCUGGGACUACCUGAGAGCCCUUCUUCUAAACCCAUCCUAGUCUGAUUCGAACUCAUUUUUCAAGGACCUACCUCUUCCCAGUUUAUAGGCCAUUUUCUCUCAUUUCAGCCCACACUGCGCUCUCCUUUCUCUGAAUUCUUGCAGCACUUAUAAUCUCUAUAAUUAUAAUAACAACAAUAUUUUAGUUAUUUACGUAUCAAGUACUCACUACAUGUCAGGUGCUAUGCUAAGUAGUUUACGUAGUCCCUUAUUUAAUCUUCACAGCUAUCCCAACCUAUGUUACAUUUGAGGAAACCGUGGUUACGUGGUUAGUAAGUGGCAGGAUGGGAUUUGAACCCAGGUCCAUCACUGGUAAAGCCUGUGUCCUUCCCCAUGGUCCAUAUUUCAUUUUUUGGGCUACCUCACAAUAUACUUGCACUGCAUCCUUUUUGUAUAUUUUAUAUUUCAUUUUAUGUGCUUGUGCCUCAUGUUCACAACAGAAUUUAUGCCUCUAGUGAAUGGGGCUACUUAUUAGAUGUGUGUUUACUGCCCAUUUUGUCAAGCAUGGGAUCAAGCAUUUAGUAGGUGCCUAAUAUUUGUGACUGGAUAUAGCAUGAAUAGACAUGCAUCUUUCUUCGAAACUCUCAAAGGUCUUUAUAAGAACAAUCACACCAGACAGUGGUGCAUGGAGGAGGGGAGCAGUGUAGUGGUCGCGUGUGAAAAGGGUCCCUGAAUAGCCAAUAAACCAUCUUACUCCGGUUCACUGUGAUCCCCUUAACCCCUCAGUAAUAGGCAAGGCCAUGUGAAGCCUGGCACAGAUAGAGUAUCAGAGAAAUCCCAAGAGGUGCAGCAUCCUUGCCACAAAAGCAGUGUGGCUGUGGCAAUCAUUGUUCCUGAAGCUUCUCUGAGGAUCCAAGAUCACUUCAGCCAAUCAGCUCCAGGAUGGAAAGAACUUCAGGGUUUUACUGGGCUUCCUUGCCAAGCUUUAAAUAGCUUAGUUACAUCAUUGAGAACCAGUGCCAAAUGAAAGUCUUUCUGAUUGACCUGCUAUUAGGAGGCCACUGCAUUAUAAACCUUCAAAGCUUUAGCCAUAAAAUAAUUUCAAAUGCAGUGUCAAGAGAAGUGUUCCAAUAUGUAAUAAGUAAAACUUAGAAGACGUAUAAAAAUUAAAGAGUGGGUCAACUGGUUCAAAUGGCACACAAAUUUAAUGUGAGUGUCACAGUCUAAUGGAAAAAACAGCAUCUCAGGAUCCAAGGGGGUUCACAUCAAUUCCAGCUUUGCCCUUCAUAUAACCUCAGCCAUGUUACUUCAUCUUACUGUGCCUCAGUCUCCUCAGCUGCAUGACGAAGACUGCGAAUUCAUUGAUUCUCAAAUUACAUGCUAGAUAUUAUCUGAGGUUCACAUGAUGGCAUAAGCUUCCUUUCCCAAACCUCAUGUAAAUACGUACCAUAUGUUUCUAAAAAGUUCUCUGUAUACACACCUCUAUUGCAAAAGUAUAUCACUCCGCAAGUUCUGUCGAGGUAACAAGCCCCAUUUUAAAGAAAAAAGAAAGGGAGGGGAGAAUUACAUUCAGGGUCAGAGAAAAUAAGGCCAGAAACAUACAGAAACAGGUUCCAGAUAUGCAAUCUGCUGCUUAUCCAUGGAGCCAUGCUACUUUCCUUUAAGAAGAGAGCGCUUAAAAGAGUAAGGUUCUACCUCUAUUCUCAUCAAGGGGAGCAACACUUUUGUAAUGACUUAUAAAGUGACUUGAGAAAAAUACUUUCUUAUCACAAUUUCCAUGUAAAUUCAAAAUUACCAUAAUUUCCAUGCCAAUUCAAAAUUAGGAAAAUACUUAACACAUUUUCUUAACUGUACAAAUGCCAGGGGAACAGAGUCCAAGACUCACUGUAGAGGGAAAAAACCCAAGGUUCUCACAGAAUCUCCAUCCCCAGCCCACUUGGCCAGAGUUUUCUUUCUUUUUAAAUUCUUGUGUCUCUACCUCUCACAGGUCUCCUCUUCCUCUUUUCCUCUUGUCACACUAUCUGCUGUCUCUCCUGGCCACCUCUAGAAGCCAACACCCUCAUCCUUUACCCUUUCUUUGCUUGUUGCAUCUAACUUUUAAGGGGCUCAGAGGCAAGAGGCCAAAGCCUGUUAAAAUCAGAAAUAAAGCUACAAAACUGGAGAAGACCUGAGCUGCCUCCCUGAGAAAAGCACACAAGUGUGACAUCUGCUAGUUGCUAAGUCCUUGUCUGUCACAGACAGUGGUAGAGGUCUAUCUUUCAGAGUAAAGAAGCCUAGCUUGAUCUAGAAAGCAGCAUCAUUUGGGCUCUUGACUUUGGGAGAAGGAGUCCUUCUGAUAUGACACACUAGUUAAUUCCUAUUCCACAAAAACCAUAACUAUGGCACAGUUAAAGCACUAUAGCAGGCACAGGUAAUGAAUAGGGUCACUUUCCUGAGUGACAUCUCCACUAAGAUCUUUCAUCACAUCAGACAUCUGUGACCCAGCCAAGCAGCAGUUACGAGGUCAGUCCUAUAAGAGAAAUAAUAGGAGGUGGGGAUGGGCAUUUGAGCUUAGCAAAGUUGUAAUCUAAUCUUUCGGACUUUGGUCAUAAAUGGGACAAAGUCCUAAAGAGACCACACUGGGUGUUAGGGAAUAAAAUGGCACUUUCCUCAAAGAAACAGCUAGAAAGGAAGCAUCCCAAGCUAUAUCCCGAAAGGCUCUAACCUCUGGGACUAAAUUACAGUCAUCAGAACCUUUAUCUUACAAAUGAAUUGUUAAUUGUACUUACCCCACCAGGACCCUCAUUUGUAUCUGUUUCUCAACUUCACCCAUGAGCCUUCCAUACACUCCUUCCCACCCUGUGCUAGAUGCCUCUCCUCUGAUGCACAACACCCUAUCACACUCCUCCUGACUAACUCACACACACACACACACACACACACUGUACUAUAAUUGUAUGCUUUUCUUCAUCUGUAGGCUCCAGGUCCAUUAGGACAAAGCUUGCAUCUUUCAGCUCAUAACUUUAGCUCUUAGAAUUGUGCCUUGUACAUAGUACAUGUUCACUAUAUGUUUAAAUGAAUGAGUACAUGAACAAAAUGAAUGAAUCUUUGUAUCUUUUAUAAUAUAGUUCUCCUUCCACCAAAGCACUCAUCUUGGUACCUUCCCAUCAUGAGGCCAGGGUAAGGCUUUGUGACAUCACUCUAAGAUAAGACAAAAGCACAAGAAUAGGUUGUACUUAGCAGAGGCAAACAAAGCUGUCCUCGGGCAGGGUGUGACACAGGUUUCUUCUUGUCUUGAGGAUGAGUGAAGAAGCCCACAGCCACAUGGGUAUUUUCGCAGCUUCCCAUGGGGGAAAGGCUGACCCUGGAUAGAAUGGCAGGAGAAUUUAAUUUUAGGAUUUGGGAAGAAGGAAUUAUUGUUAAGUAUCUCAGAAGAAUCAAGAUUUGGGAGCAGGAAGUGAAGACUUAUCCAAAUUAAAGAUUGUGCUAAUUUAUUACAACCAUGUAUACUGAAAACAAGCAUGUUGGGGUAAGUGGACUGCUUCCUCCAUAGCAGAGUUAUGAUAGCUUGGGAAGAAAGAAUUAAGCCAUUAUAAAAAGUACAGCAACCUUCCUCCUUCCAGCCUGCCUGCACAAAGUGACCAUGCAGAACAAGCCAUACCUGUACACAAUCUCCAUUUCAAACACGUAUAAAAUCCUAUUUACACAUUUCUAAGCUUGUCUUUCUUGAGAACAACUGAUUCCACUACAAUCCUGGAGUCCUAAAACGUCUUAUGUAAUCCACUCCAACUUUUUCAAUUGACAGACGAAAAGCCCGAGGUCCAGAGAGAUAAAGUGACUUUCCCCAAAUUUUAGAGUUUUCUGUUCCUCUAAGGGCGUAAGGGUGUAAUAGGACAAAAAGUGAUAAUCUAUGUGACUUGGGAUUGGGAGACCAGUGUAAUGUAGUGUGUUUGGAUCCUGGCCAACUGUGUGAUCUUAAGCAAUUUUAUGUCUCUGAGCCUCAAUUUUCUUAUUUCUAACAACUGGUAUAAUAAUAGCACCAACUUCAAAGGUUUUUGUGGUGAUUAAAUGAGAGAACAUAUCUAAAGCAUUCAGCACAGUGUCUGGUACCUAGUAGGUAUCAACAAAAGGUAUCUAUAAUAGGUAUUGUUGUUAUUGGUAUUAUUACUGUGCUAAUAGCAUAAUGGGUGACAGAAUAAUGAAGUCAGGAGUCAAAAUAAAUUAUAAUAAUGAUUAUUAUUAUAAUAAUAAUAUGAUUAACAUUUCUUAAGUGUGUGCCUAGGUACUUUAAUGAUUGCUUCAACUACAUUAUCUCACUCAGUUCUCCCAAUUCUACAGAUAAGGAAACUUUCCCUUAGAGGAGCUUAAAAUUUUGCUCAACAGCUGAUAAGUGAUGACCCUAGGAUAUGAACCUAGGUUUCACAGACUCUAGAAUUUCUGCCAUUAUGCUGAAUUAAGGAUAACCAUUAAUAGAUUAAGGAAAAAUAAAGAAAAGGAAGAUGUUUAAUUCCAUGAGUGAGGUCCUUUACUCUUUUCCCAACUAAAACAGAUGAAAGCCUACAUUUUAGAGCAAGAUGGGCCAAUAUCAAUCACUUCACUUAACCAUGUCAGACUUUUAUGAUAAAUGUUACGGCUGAGUGUGAGGUCACUCAAUGUCAGCUCAAUAUCCCUUUAACAGGGAGCUAUAAGUCAAUCCUGCCAUCUUCAGAUUUAUCUCUGGUGUACAAUAAAACUGGUUGAUUUUCUAUUGAUUGAGCAUUUGAGAUACAAAAGCUUGAGAAUUGGCUGCUAUUUGUUUGAUGUGUUCCUGUGUCUGUCAAACUUGUAGGAGUGUUAUCUGCUGUUUGAAUGUGGCUUGAAGCUUCCCAAAUCUGGCUUCCAUAAUUGUUUGGGAAAUGUCAUUUGCUUGAAAAAUGGGGGUAAAUUGAGGGCCUGUCUUUUCCUAUUUGCAGAUAUUAAGAGAUUUUAUUUAUGCAAGCUGUUAACCAGGUUAACAUUGCCCACCCCAUCCCUAGGGAUGAAGUAGGAGUUCAGUGUGGGUGAGGCAUACUUCUUAAGGGUCCUCAAAGCCUCUGAAAAAGUUACAUCUUCAGUAGAAAGCCCACAUAUUGCAAAAUGUUGGAAGGACGGUGCCUUAAAUUGUGAAAUCUUCUGUGAGGGAUCUCAUUUUUCUGGAACUCCCUGACAUCUGAGCCCUCAUGUUGCUGGAAUGAUUCCAAGAGCACCAUAAAAUUAGGGCUGGUCCUGUCUGAACUGAGUCCAGAUCAUUUCAAAGUGACUCAAGGCAGGGAAAUAAAUAUUGAACCUAGUUAAAUGUUGCUUGAGAUUAUGCUUGGCACUGGGUGUCCAGUCACUGAUUUACUCUUAGGUUACAGGGGUUAUUUUGAGCCCAAAUGGAUGUGCCAGGGCGGAUUCAUUCAAUGGCAGCAAUUAUUUGCAAGCACAGUUGCAUUUCUGACAUGUUUAGCGGAAUGUAAUGUAGAGAUUUAUGUGAUGGUUUCAGGUGGGUGUAACAGACAUUAAAGUCCUCAGUUUCAUGCUACUUUACUCAACCCUGGAUCACAUUUGGCUUUUCCCCAUUCUUUUUCUCCUUUUCCUUAUCUUGCUUGAAAAAAACAAAAAACUGACGUUUUUUCUUUCUUUCUCUUUCUUUGUCUCUUUCUCUCAUUCUGCUUCUUUCUUUGUCUUUCCUUUCUCAUCCCUUUCCUUUCCUUUUAGACAAUAACUUAUAAGUUAUGAGUGAACAAUACGAAAUCAGAAUCAAAGAGGUUAAAAGAAAGAGUUGUAAUGAUAUUCAGCUCACCCCACUCCCACUCUAAACCACCCAAAAAAUAUGGGGGUAGCUACUUGGAAAAGAAAUGUUUUAAAUGGCCAGUUACAACUUUAAAGAAGAGAUUUUGAAGCACAGGUACCCAUGGUACACAUGGACUAUGUACAGCCAUACAAUUUAAGCCCUGUUGAGUUGGCCUGUGACAUGUUUCAUUUUAUGACUGAUGUCGGGUCUUGUACCUCAGUGCCACAAGAUGGAAGUCACAUGCAGUCCCAGUCCUCUGCCUCUCUUCCCUUCAGCAAGAGGAGGAUACUCCCUAGUGCCACAUUUGGUCUCACUGUUUGAUCUGAGGCUCUGGCUGCUGUCAAGUCCCAGCUGGGCAAGACACUGGAGCAGCAUUCUGGUAUAAGAGCAACCUUUGGGAUCACACAUACCCACAUGGGACUCCUGAUCUGCACUCUAUUAACUGUCAACCUUCAGCAAUUGACCUAAAACUCUCUGAGCUCAGUUUCCUUAUCUGUAAGAUGGAGAUGAUAAUAACUCCUACCUUGCAGUACUGUUGUGAAGAUUUAAUGGGGUAAUGCACAUAAAGUGCUUGGGUCAGCACCUGCCAUCAGCAACACUUACUACAUGGUAGACAGCAGAACAAUUCCUCAAAUGUCAAACCACCUCUCUUUCUGAUAGGCCUGCAGACUCUGGCCACAGAUGUGACCCUAGCCUCAAACCUCUAAAGACCUGGCCACAGAGAUCAGGUGGCUCAAAAUCUUGGCAGAGGUGGACAACGGGGGGCAGGUCAGAGGUCCAACGUGGCAAUCAGGCAGGAACCAUCUUCCCAAGACACACCCCCACUUCUUGGGUUACACUGCCUAUGCUCGGUCUCCGACCCGUUUCUACAUUGGCCUGGCAAGGUGCAGGGCCCUGCCAAACACAAUGCCAAGCACAGGCUUUAUUAACUUGCCUAUAUCUUGAGAAAAUAGACACAAAACAACAGAGUAUACAUUAAAUCCUGUUAGGAGAAAAAUCAAUAAGAAAUAUCUGUUUAACAAAGCCCCAUACUUAGACCAUUUUCUUUCAAGAACUAUUUGAUCACACUUAAGAUCAGAAGCCAUAAUUUUCACAUAUGUAAGACUGUAUAGUUCCCAAAGCCGUUCCCCAUACCUUAUCUUAUUUGAGCCUUCCCAAUACCUUUCAAGGUAAGUAUUAUCUCCACUUUACAGAUAAGAAGCUGAUGUUCAGAAAGUUUUAAGUCAAAUCCAAGGUCAUUCAGCUAAUACCUGUUUGAGUUAUUUCUUGAUCCGAGAUCUUCUGACCCCAGCAUUCCCAGCACUACACUGUUCACCUUUUUCUACCCACUGAGUACUGGUCACCAAAACCCCUACUACCCUCACAUCCCAACACUCACCUAUGCUAUCUGGCUUUGAUUAGAAACCUGACCAAGGUAUAGGCUCUGAAAAGACACACAAGUUAAACGAGGCAUGAAAAAAUUAUCUGGUUUAAAAUAUGAUCAUGAAUAUACACCAUAUACAAAAGAACUUAAUGGAAAGAAACAGAGCCCAAGAAUUUCAGGGGGACUCUUCACUCUUCCAGCUUUAAGAAGCAAACUGGACCUGAUGGGUGAUGUACUUUGUGAGCCAGUUAAUAUAAAUAUCAUGAUAAUUUUAAUGAUAAUACAGCCCAUAGACCUCAGGGAGAAAGUAGUAUUCUCACCAAAGGUACAAAUGGAUGGGGAUUUUAUGAACGAAGGAAGAUCACUUCCUCUACACAGACUCUAUGCUCCCAGCUAUAGUGAUUUAUUUCUGCCCCUUCCAACCCAACAUUUCCUGAGAAUCCCCAUGGCCCCUGUCUUUGCUAGGUGGGGAAGAAAGACCUGAUCUUGUCACAGGAGUAGUGCUGGUGAGGAGAGGACAACAGACCUAGUGAUGUUUCUUUCACCCUCCCCAAUUCCCACCACCUAGAAAAUGAAGACUGACAACUAUUAAUGACUCCUGGUAACCACGUAUGGAUUAUUCAUGAGAUAAAGCAUGAUUUAAACCAUAGCUAUGAGAUGAUCGUUUCAUGUCCCACAUAGCCCUUCCCCAGCCAGGCCUGAAGCUAUAGGGAUGGAGGUGGGUGUUUGGGAUGAACCAGGGCUGCCACACAAAACAUCCAAAGAAACCAACUUCUUGACUGCGGGGAGCACAGGCAGAGCUGAUUGGACAUCAGCUACUCUGAGGAACACAGGAGAUUGCCUAUUUUUUAGGAAAUGUUCCAAAAAAUUGUUUCCCCUCCUCUUUAGCCCAGAGUGAAGGAGGGUGUUUCCCAUGCAGACAGUGCAACCUGCCCCGGCCCCUCACCACAGUGAGAGAAGACUCAGCAGCACAUGCUCACCGAGCUAACUGAACCGAUGGUGCUCUCCGUAGUGGCCACAGACUACAGCUGAGGUCAACUGAUGCAUGCCCAACGACGUCUGCAGAUCCCAAGAUAUGAUUUCAUUAAUUGCCAUGGAUAAAUCAGUUGGGCAUUUGCUGGCAGUGUUUAAAAUGCCACGAUGGGUCAGAUUAGAAAGCUGCUAGUACUGUAAGUCCAAAAGUGACCCAAGGAGGGUUCUUGGCUUCUGCCAAGGGUAAGAUCCCACAGCUGCUUGAGUUGACUCCACCUGAACAAAGUGAGGCCUCUGCCAUCAGGCCCAUCAUUCCAUCUAGAUAGGUAUGGCCUCCUGCCACCACCGGGACACACAUCUGUGAUACAACCAGAGACAACAAAGGUACCCUGGGCUGGAGGCAGGGCAGGGGUAAUUGCAGUAUCAGAACCUACUUCCCAGGAUUCUUGACAAAGUUCUCCCCAACAGGUGCUUCUCCUCUCUGGAGUAGUGUAAUGAUGAAAGACACGUAUUAGAAGUUGAACUACCAAGGUUUGAAUCCCAGCUCUGCCCACCAACUAUGUAAUCAUGAGAAAGUCACUUAACCUCUCUGAAUCUCAGCUUCCUCCUCUGCAAAAGGGAAGAAUAAAGCUCCUAUAUAGUCCCAUAAAAUUGGUGUAAGGAUUAAAAGACAUGAUUGGUGUGAAGAGUUAGAACAGUGAGUCAACAUGAAGUCAUGUUCCAUAUUAUUUUUCCUUUAGGGUCCUCCGUCUUCCCCUUUCCCUGGAGACCCAUCCUAUCUGCCCUAGUGGGGCAGUGCCUUGUUCUCUGGGAUGCUCCUCUCUUUACUCUGAAAGAGAUCAAAUAACCAGUCCACACAAAGCUUAAUAUGUUGUUCAAUAGGAGGGUGGAACUUUAGAUGCAAGGAGCAAACUCCUAGAGGGAAAUUUCCAGUUUUAUUGGUCUGCAGAUAGAAAAGGGUUAUUUGCAUCAUGUAGGAGAGUAUUGAAUAGGAGGUGAGGAAGUAGGCCAAGGCCUCAUAAUCUGGACAUCGAUUUCAGGAUAAGAAGUGCAUAUAUAAGAGGUUUCAUAGGUAGAGUCGAGAGCAAGCAUAGUAGAAAUGACACUACAAAGAUUUUAAGAAAAAAUAGGAUUGAAGGGGAGCCAGUGUUGCCAGAUGGAGGCCAUCAUGUGGAGAUCCUGCUUGGAGCACUCACUAGCCCAGAGCCACCAUGCCAUGGGAUGGACCUGCAGCCUCUGGAGGCCUUGAUAAGGGAUGGCUGAGCUGAGCUGAGUGUUCACUUCCCUGUGCUUUUUACAUUUCCUAAGGUAUAGGCAACCAGGAGAUGCCUUAUUCUCUACAAUUUUCUGGGACCAACAUAGCCACAUCUGUUAUCCCUUUGUCCUUCCUCACCUUCCUUGCAACUCUUCAUACACAUUCACACACACACACACCUUUCCAGGUCUGAGAAAAAGGUAAUAGACAAAACACAAACUCUAAGAAUCAAAUGCAGACAUGUGAAGCUGGCCAGGUGCAAUCAUACAUGCCCUCGGGUAAGGCAUGAUUCAUCACCAAAGUCCCCAACUCCUCUGCUCUCUGAAAACACUCUGCCUUCUUGCAGAUGGAUGGUGACAGUCCCACUCCUUUCUACCUCAUACUGAGACCAGCUUGAGCAUGUGGCUGGCCAUGCAGCCUUGAAAAGGACAAAUGACCCGAAGGGACUAAAGUAGAAUGGGGAAAGCCAGGCACUCCAAAGCUGCAACAUCACCCUCUGGCAGUUAUAAUUGCUCCCCUGCAGUGAGGGAAUGUCCCUGCCCACUACUCAUCGACCAGGUAGCUCCUGGAGGGCUCAAGUUCCUGGUGGAAGGGGCUUGGCCUGUUUCAACUAACUUCAAGCAGCACAAAGCCCAGCCCAUCUCUCUGUAGCUCUGGGCAUUUAACAAAUGCUUUUAAUGAUGAUGAUGCAAUCCUUUCAGCUUAGGUCUAUCAGGGUCCCCUGAGAAACAUAUAUUAUCUGAAGCUUUCCCUUUUGCUUAAUUACAUUGUGCUAAUGUUCUUUUUCCACUAGAUUUCUCCUCCCCCAACUCUCCCAUCCAAAUCCUGCUUCACUGUGGGUUGGAUUUACAUAAAAGGCCAGCACGUUAUAAUUGUGAUGAUUGAUCACCAAAGUUUCCUUGGGUUCAGAUUGUUUCCUAAUGUGGGUCAUUUUUCAUCAUGAAGAGUUGGCUGAUAAUGAUGUCAUUUCCAUUGCUUGAAUUUUGAGGCAGUGGCCACAUAUCACAGAGUUUAAAUGACUGUCUAUAGGGCAGCAAAAUCAUGUCGUUAUCAGUUUAAAGCAGUUGCUGCUUUACUCCUGGGGACAAAACAAGAAUUGGAGCCUCCUAAAACUCAUCAAACAAGAGCAGGAUGCCAAGAAUACAAAUCUGUAUCUGGGCCUGGGAAAGGGGGAGCAGGAAGGAGGGGUGGUGGUGAAGCAAACCUGUUUUUGCAUGAGGCUGUGUGGUAAGUAUCAGAUAAAAAUGACAAAGUCAUACUUGACAGAAAAUAAGCUGUACUGCUGAUCACUGGAUACCUUAGAUGUGUUCACCCACAAUCCUUUAACUGUGAUUUCACAGGAAGAUUAACGAGCAAGAAUUGAAAUCAUUCACGAAGAGAAGCUUUGGACUAAAACCCAUCUGCCAGAUAAGCCAAUAAAUGUCCCUCUCAUCAAGUGAUUGGGACUGGGAUGGAGCUGGAAUUUGGCCCUAAUGUUGCAUGUGUAAAAGCCUUGAAAGAAAUCAGAAGAGAUUCUGAGGAGGUAGCUAAGGAAUCCCAGAUCACCUAAGAGUUUGGAAAGAAGAAAGAGGGCAUGGCACACCCAGGGGAAUGACGCCUCUGCACCCCAGCCUGGCCUCACAAGCACUGUAGUGGUUAUAUACGAGGCUCUGGGGGCUUUCUGCUGGAAUCCUCCUCCUGCUCUGCCAUGACCAGUUGUGAUUCUGGGCAAUUUACUUAGUCUCUGUCAGCCUUCCCCAUCCACUGGAGGAGAGAUAGUUUUAACUCAUGUCACUGUGAUAACUGCACUGAUGACAUCAGGUAUUUGACACAAAGUAAGCAUUCAAUAAACAUGCCUUUUUUUUGUUGUGGUAAAAUAGACAUA